ensembl:snoRNA small nucleolar RNA SNORD11
AGUAGUCAAUGAUGAUUAAUUUUUCAGUUUGCCUGAUUUCUUUUUAGAAUAUGAAGGCAACUUCAGUCACUACCUCUUCUGAGACACU